rnacentral:tRNA from 1 species
UCCCUUGUAGCUUUGUUGGUAGAGCAUGGAUCUUACAAAGCCAGGGUUGUGGGUUCGAUUCCCAAGGGGG